CGUGGAGCUGGUCACCUGACUUGGUCACAGGGAUCAGAUUUCCGGCCAUCUCCACAAAUUGAGGUCGCCCUUCAAGAACCUGGAAAAUACAAAAUGUAUCAGGAUGACAUGAAUAAUUUCAUUCUUUUCCAACCAUUUAGAAGGGACUCGGAAUACAUACAUAAUACAAACUGUGUUAGCAAAAGGUUUCAACAUCAAUAUUCUAGCCUUUAAAGCUUAUCAAAGAAAGUCUUGGCUAUAAUCCAGUUUUGUACUUUCAACAAAUACAACCACAAGGACAAAGAAAAUACAAAUAGGAGCCUUCACAACCAAAAUGAAACUUUCUGGACUAAACAAUGAAACUUUCUGUUUUAAACAAUGAACCGGGCUAAUCAACUUUUUAUUCAUACAUACAAGAAAAAAAUCUUGACAAACAUAAAAGUCAUGUAUAAGUACAUUCCCAACACUUGUGACAUUAAAUGACAUCAUGUAUUAAAACCAAUCACAGUAUCUGGCAAGUCAAAAAGUCAAUCGUAAUACAAAAAGUGGUUAUCUGACAAAUUCCAAAGCAUACUUUUCUUUCUUCAAUUGAAUUAUUACUUAGCAUGACAUGGAUGUUCUGAAAACAAAAGUACACACAAUCCAAACUCUGCACAGAUGUCCAGACAAGAUUUCAGCAACCAUUAUUAUGGAGAAACUUACAGAUGAUUGUAGCCCACUUCAUCUACUAGAUCACUUUAUAAGCACAGCAGCAAGCAAUGGAGUCCAUUUUCAAUGAAGAGGAAAAUGAGCAGACUUUAAUAAACUAGGAGCUGAAGGUUGAUGAUUACUGUGGCUGGCUGGAUUGCAGUAGAUGAAAUGAAGAGUGCUAAGAUUUAGCCUGCUCAAAUGAGUGAUUGUCACUUUGAUACUUACAUCUAGUCAGAGCAUCUGAGGAGAGCUAAUUCCAAUCCAAUUCUUUCAAUAGUAAGAACUACUGGGAGCUACAUGCUGUUAACAACUUACCCAAAUAAAGGCCCCUCCAAAAUUAAUUAAGCCAAUGGUUCUAUUGAACAUCUCUAUUAUUAACCAUAUCAACUCAUCUGAUAUAAAAAAAAAAUGCUGUCUUUGAACAAAAAUUAGAGCUAGCAGUAGAUUAUCAAACCACAACACUGGGACAGUGUUCUAUAGACCAAAUUUCUCUGAGUACUUUUUUUACCCCAAGAGAUCAGUUGCUUUUUUUUUCAAGGUGAUGACUCAACUACUUGAUAGACAUAUUUCUAAAAGCAAGCCAUAUACACAGACACAAAAGUUCUGACUAGUUGUUUUUUUCGUACGUAACAGGGAUGAUAUGGAAAAAAAAUGCAAAAAAGGUUAAAUGGUUAAUAUAAAAUCUUGAUCAAUGGAUGCUAUUUAAGGAUUGAUUCAGCAGUAAUUAAUUAUGAAUAGCUUACUUUGUACAAUAAUCUCAGAAAAGAACAAUAUUUGUAUCACUUCAAAGCAAACAUUCUAUUGCAGUGAUGUGCAAGGUACUGCCCAUGAGCCAUUUCUAGCCCACUAUGCAUUGCUUUCAGGCCUCCUCCAAAUAUUCGCCCACAAUGCACAACAAAGGCUUGGUUCCAUUGGACUUGAAGGUUUUUUUUUCAGUGACACAACCAAUGACACUUGUGUUGGAAAUCUGAAAGAUCCCUAGGCCAAAAGAAGUUGGACACCACUGUCCUGUUGUGUAUCAAUGUCACAAAGAAGUAGCUGUCCCAUGUCAAGUUCAAAAAGAAGUAGCUCUCUCAUGUCUAAUCAGAUAUAUACAUAUUCAAGAGAUUUAUGGCACAGGAAAAAGAAUGUAAAAUCCCUUAUAAAAAGUACAAGCAGAACUGCAAUACAUGUCAGACUGAAGAAGAUUUGCUGAUUGCCAUCACUUUCAAAGAAGAGAACAGGCUUCUAAAACAAAAACAAACUGUGUACAUCACUUCCCACACAAUCAUUCAGCUCAUCUUACAAUAUCAUGUCAAUGAAAACAAAAA